UAUUAUAGUGCUCAACGUGGACCGCUUCACUCCAGCAAUAAAGACAGCCAUGAAUUAUGUACAAGAUUGUCUUGGACGAAAUGCCAGAAAUUACACAAUGAUUCUCUUCACUGGAGCGGAUAAUUUGGAUGGAAAACCCAUUGAAACCUUCAUUCAAGAGAAUCAACAUCUCAAUGAAUUAGUGAAAAUACAUGAGAACAGAUUUCAUGCACUCAAUAACCGAGACACCACCAAUAAGCCCCAAGUGGAUGAACUGCUGAAGAAGAUCAAUUUAAUGUAUGAACAAAAUCAUAAAGAAUAUUACACAGAUUCUGAUCACAAAAAAGGAAUGCCAUCUUCAAGCAGUGGUUGGUUUAGUCAUGCAAAAACAACGGUCACAACUCGUUUAACAGGAAUCAGGACUCAUCUGGGAUUGUCUGAUUAGCCUAACAAGGAGGUUUGGGGUUCAACUCUGUGGACUGACUAGAGGACUUUCUGUGAGAGGAUUGCAUGUUCUCCUCGUGCCUGCAUACUUCGUCCUUGGAGUGCUCUGGUUUCCUCCCACACUCCAAAGACAUUGGAUCUAAUGACUAAACUCACCAUAGGUGUGAGUAUGAGUGUGAAUGGCUGUCUGUCUCUCUGCAUUAGGCCCGUGAUAGAGUUAGGGCGAUCUGUCCAGGUGUACCCCACCUCCUGUCCAGUGUCAGAUGGGAUUGGCUUCACCUCAUCCAUGACCUGUUAUGGAUAAGCAGUAUAGAAAAUAGAUGGAUGAUGUAAAACCACCAUCAGCUCACUCUCUCUUGGUGUGGUUAUGUGAAAUGUACUAUACAUUGCAAUUCAUGCUUGUUAUUUUUCCUUUUUGAUUGUAAACCAAUGUAUAUUGCACUUUGUAAUACUAUCCAUUGUAUCAUGAAAUUUUACAGAUAUCAUAACCUUAUCAUUUGUAUUUACUGGCUUGUUUUAUGAUUCGUGUUUGUAGCUCCUCAACAAUAAACAAGAAUAAAAUACAGAUAAACUGCAACUGUUCAACUGUUGAUUCCCCCCCCCCCCAAUUUUUAAAAUUAUGUCUACAGCAUAUAAUUUGUACAUUUUAUUGGCAUUAUGUUUUAAAAUGGGGCAGGGAUAUAUGAUUCAGUGAUUCGUCUGAGUAUUUGUUUUAUUUAUGAUGCUUGGGUUUUUGUCAUUAAUCAGCCAUAAUAAAAACACUUGGAAAAAAUAAA